CUUUAACUUAAACAUCAGUAAAAGCAUUCAAUCAUUACAUUUCAAGCAUCACACUCAUUAAUUCUUGACAUGUUUAUUAAUGAUGCAUCAUAUGUAUUCAUUUAGGGGCAAAUUUUAAUAAAAUAAAAAUCUUGCAUUAACUAAAAUAUUUUAUGCCGAAUUAAUUUGCACUCGUUGGUUACUACUUCUUAAGUGUAAUUUUGAGUUUGAGUUGAUCUCUUUAUUAGAACAUGUAUUUUUCUCUUUGGACUAAAAAAUCAAUUUACAAGAUAUAUUUCGUAUAUAUGCUGAUACUCUCCAUUCCAUGAUAAUAGGAUGGCCAUGCAUGCAUUUAAAAUAUCAAGUAAAAGCAUUGUUUUCGGAUGUAGUAAUUUUGUUCGUGGCCUAGUUAUUAGUGGCAUUAUUAUCUUUAUUCUACAUGUCAUUUUUAUCUUGUCUUUGUGUACUUGUCACCACUCAUCAUUUUAUAAAACUGGAGAUCAAACUAUCUUUUGUUUCUCUUAAAAAAAUAUUUAGCAUAAAACUAAAAUAAAAGCUCUUAACAAAUAAACCAAUAAUUUCUAAUAUAUUUUCACACCAAUUUCAAUAUUCC
rnacentral:lncRNA from 1 species